CCUGGAAGAACACCAGGUUGAUAGGUCAGAGAUGUAAGCAUGGCAACAUGUUAAGUUGACUGAUACUAAUAAGUCGAGGGCUUGACCAAAUAA
rnacentral:rRNA from 2 species